rnacentral:rRNA from 1 species
UACAGAGGGUGCGAGCGUUGUUCGGAAUUAUUGGGCGUAAAGGGCGCGUAGGCGGUGCGGUAAGUCACCUGUGAAAUCUCCUGGCUCAACUGGGAGCUUGCAGGCGAAACUGCCGUGCUGGAGUGUGGGAGAGGUGAGUGGAAUUCCCGGUGUAGCGGUGGAAUGCGUAGAGAUCGGGAAGAACAUCAGUGGCGAAGGCGGCCUGCUGGGCUGUUGCUGACGCUGAGGCGCGACAGCGUGGGGAGCAAACAGG